AAUUAAACAUACUUUAAUCACACCGUUUCAAACUAACAAUAUCAGUGUCUUUCUUAAAAAAAGCUAUUUCAACUACAAUCUCAAACAUGCUCUAAUUCUAGAGAGAAGAGGACUUUCCUCUGGAAUUAUUCCUUUCCAAAUUUGGGGUAGCCAAUUUUACAUGAUGGAAAAUUUUGACGUCUAUGACAAAUCUUGAAAUCCAUGAAUAAAAAUGCGAAAGUAAAAACAGCAGAACUCAGAAUCAAUAAAUACUAUGACUCAAAUAUUCUAUUCUACCUCCAAACUUGUGUAAGCGCUUAAAAAAAAAUGGACACUGAAUUUUUUCUGUCCUCCUGUCAACAGCUGCGCUUGAGGGGACUACAUCCCUCCCCCUUUUACAACAUCUCUAUUUUAAGAGAGGAAUUGAUAACAUUCAACCGCAAAUAUUAAUACAGAAUACAUGACAUUUACAAACCAAACUUUUUUGGUCUCAAAUAAGUGGAAGAGCCUUGUCGCAGCCCUGGCAUAGAGACUUGCUGCUGCUGCUUUGCCCUCUUUUGCCUUUCCCUUUCCUUGCUCUCUUUCUCUACCUCUGCUUGCUCCCUUCUCAAAAUUUCCAUCUCUUCCUCCAUUGCCGUUUUUUCUUCCUUUUGCCUUUUCUUGUGCUCCAACAUAGAUGUGUCCGAUUCCUUCACAGAAAAAAACAUUGGCCCCAGUUCAGCCAACCACUGGGGCUCCACUGCAGUGGCACACUGCAUGUAUUCCUUUGUUGUCAAAAUCAAUUCACGAUAUACCACGUACUCUGGAGUAUAACCUAAACCAUAUAAGGCACUGCUUGGGUGAAGAUGGCAUGGCAUUCCAUUCCUGCAAUUAAUAUAUUCCCCAACACCCUUUAAUCUUGCAGCAUUGUGAAAAUAUGCAGAACAUAUGGCCUUUCGUAUAACAUCCCAAUCAUGACCACAAGAAGUUAAUGGAAUUUUCAAAGUUUUGAGAAUAUCUAGAAGCUGGGAUCUGACUUCUCUAGCCUUCCGUAAUCCUUUGACAUGCAAAAAGUGAUCGUUGCACCAAUCUCCACGGUAUUGAUGCUCUUUCCAUUGCAAAUAAACAUUAAGCAGAGUCAGGUGGUCAGAUUCGGGAACAAAAAAUUUUUCCCUUGCAGCAUCACUCUCCUCUGCCCUAUCUUUGGGCCGGAAAAACACUGAUGGCACUGAAAGCAUUGAUACAAUUGUCAAAACCUCAUUUAUACAUCCUAGUUCUUCUCCCAUCAAGAGCAUCUUAGCUAGUGGGGGGUCUAGAGGAAACUCCACCAUUUUCCAGCCAAGAUCAGUUAGGCCUCCAACAUUGUUGAGUGCACCCAAGACCCAAAACUGAUACAUUGAAUUAAGGAUGUUAUCCUGUGCAGGUGGGCCCAUGAAAUCUAAAUCUAGCGAGUUGUCGAUCUUCAGAGACUUGAGCAACAAAACCACAUUACCUAGGUUGGUCCUCUGGAUCUCUGGCACUGGACUGGGCAGCAUUUCAUUGAGGUAUGCACUUUCUGUAUAAAGCCUAUAACACGUGCCAGGGCCAGUUCUACCAGCACGUCCAGCACGCUGAUCAGCAGCAGCACGGCUAACAGGGAAAACUUGGAGAGCAUCCAUGCCCAUCCUAGGAUUGUAAACUUUCAUUUUACCAUAUCCUGUAUCAAUAACAUAAAAAAUUCCAUCAACUGUCAGCGACGUUUCUGCAAUGUUUGUGGCAACGAUGCAUUUGCGGGCCCCAUCCUCAGCUUUCUGGAAUAUCUUGGCUUGCAAAUCAGCUGGUAGUUGGGAGUAUAUAGGCAGUAUCAAGAGCUUAGGGACUGCUUUUUUUGUCGUAGAUAUAAGUUGUUCCAUGCGCUCAGCAAGGGCAUAGCAGGCUGCUUCUAUCUCAUCUUGGCCGGUCAUAAAAAUAAGUAUGUCACCUGGAGGACUUGUAAUGUGGAUGGUCAUUGCUUGCUUCACUGCUCCUUCAACGUAAUCUUCACAAGGCGUUUUGCUGUACAAGAUAUUCACUGGGAAUGUUCUUCCUGGAAUGUGGAAAAUUGGAACACUUCCGAAGAAAUUAGAAAAUUUCUCAGCAUUUAGAGUUGCAGAUGUCACAAUGAGCUUGAAGUCACGACGCUGGGCAACCACCUUUUUUAGUAUUCCAAACAAAACAUCUGUGUUUAACGAUCUUUCAUGUGCUUCAUCCAUGACUACAACCCGAUACUUGUCAAGAUCAGAAUCUUUCAGAGUUUCACGCAAUAGCACUCCAUCAGUCAUAUACUUAAUUAUGGUGUUUGGCCCAGUCACAUCCUCAAAACGGAUAGCAUAACCAACCUUAUCUCCCAAUUCAGUUUCCAUCUCUUCGCUAACUCUCUUUGCAACACUCAUGGCUGCCACACGCCUUGGUUGGGUGCAACCAACUAUACCACUUUUUGUAUACCCAUCUUCGUGUAGAUACUGUGUCAGUUGAGUAGUCUUUCCUGAACCAGUUUCUCCAACAACAACCACCACCUGAUUUUCACGAACCACCUGUAAUAAAUCCUCUCGCACUGAAUAUAUGGGCAGAUAUUGUCGCUGCUCAGCAAUGGAUUUUGACCUUGCAAAAUCACUCACAGCUUCCUCCUUUUUCAAAUGCUGUGCAAAUUUUGCAUCUUCCUUAAAAUCAACUUCACCUUCUUCACCUACUACAGCUGUAUCGGCAUCAAUCUGUUCUGCUGUCUUCUCAACACCAAGAAUAUCACCAAGUUUUGAGCCAGCAAGCUCCCAAAAACGCUGGCGUGACUUAUUCAUACUUUGCUUCUCAUGAAUUUCUCUAACCAAAGCAGAUCCUUUGCGUGAAAUAAUGGCCAUGUCUGAGGUAGGAUCUUUUAUGGGCAUUAUAGGCUCUGCUUGUUUAGUAAAAACAACUCUUCCAUCCAGGAAUGGAGGUUUUGUAUCAUGUACAAGAAGAAUGACCUUGCGUUCUUCCUCGUCAUCAAAAUUAGUCUGCACUUCAGUACCCCUAACAGCUCCAGAUCUUAAUAAUUGCCGGUCCUCCCAUUGGGCAUUGUCAGCAGUAAGUUGAGACAACCUUUUGCUUUGUGCAAGUGACAUUCUGGUGCCAUCUCUUCGAACCAGCCUUUUGGCCAAUUCUGCUUCUUUUUUCUGGAAUGAGGCAUCAUCUCCAAGGAAAAAAGAUGAGCUAUCAGCAUCAAACAUUGUGUUACCUUCUUCUCUAUCAUACCAUGCUCGAUCAGAAUUGUACUCCAUCUCUAGGCGCAUGCUUUCAGUAAUCUCAUGAUUGUGUUCCUCAGAUGAAUAAGCUUUAUCUGCUCCUUCCUCCUCUAAUGAUUGUGACCUUGCAGAGGAGAAAGUAAGUUGAUGGGACUUCCCACCAUUCCUAGAACUAGAAGACUUAGCUGAAGAUCCAGAGGCACGAAUCGGAACUGGAGAGGGAGCAAUCUGAUCCCAUGGAGAAGCGGUAGAACCAAUAGAAGAAGGUGUAUGGCUGCCCAACCAUGGGGAAACUAAUCGUGCAUCAGGUGAGGCUCCAACAAACAUCGGGGAUGGUGAAUAAUAAUGGCGCUGGCUUGUAUUAGAGUGACUAUCCCGACGGGGAGUUUCUUCCCAUUCCCAUCUCCCAUCAUCCCAGUCAAAUCUACCUGGUGUCCUCCUUGAACCUUCGUAUCUGCCUCGUUUUCUGUCAUAAUCUCUACUAUGUUCUCUUUCAUACGAACGACGAUCUCCCCUUCCAUGACUGCUCUCUUCACUAUUAUCCCUAUGCCGGUUUCUAUUCCUGCUUUCACCCCUGGAAUCAUCCUUAAAAUCUCUUCUCACAUUACUGCGGUCAUCUCUCCCACCCCUAGGACUGCUUGAACGGAUACCUCGAGAACUCCUAAUAGUGCUAGGAUCAUCUGAUGAUACAUUUUCUCUUGAGUGAUGACUACCAUAAAUAUCACUAAUUGUUUCUCCUUGAGUCACGGUACUUUCUUCAUGAGUGAUCUCAUGCGCAGCUGUUUCACGAUAACGUCUAUUUACAUGAUUGUUUACACUAAUAGAUUCACCAUCCCUGACUUCAUCUGUUCCAGAUGAUUCAAGUUCUCCCUCGUCGAUGGAUGCUGCAACAGAGGUGAUUCUUUCUCUUGGAACCUUAAACAUGCCAUUUGAUUCAGAUUUCUCCCGUUUUUCAUUUGCAAGGAUGUCCA
rnacentral:misc_RNA from 1 species